GUUUUAAUAGUUUAAAAAAAACGAUGAUUUUGUAAAUCAAAGAUAGGAAAGCCUUUAAAACU
rnacentral:tRNA from 1 species